rnacentral:rRNA from 1 species
UACGUAGGUGGCAAGCGUUAUCCGGAUUUACUGGGUGUAAAGGGCGUGUAGCCGGGCUGACAAGUCAGAUGUGAAAUCCGGGGGCUCAACCCCCGAACUGCAUUUGAAACUGUUGGUCUUGAGUAUCGGAGAGGCAGGCGGAAUUCCUAGUGUAGCGGUGAAAUGCGUAGAUAUUAGGAGGAACACCAGUGGCGAAGGCGGCCUGCUGGAUGACAACUGACGGUGAGGCGCGAAAGCGUGGGGAGCAAACAGG